rnacentral:misc_RNA from 1 species
GAUGAAGAACGUAGCGAAAUGCGAUAAGUAAUGUGAAUUGCAGAAUUCAGUGAAUCAUCGAAUCUUUGAACGCACAUUGCGCCCGCCAGUAUUCUGGCGGGCAUGCCUGUUCGAGCGUCAUUACAACCCUCAGGCCCCCGGGCCUGGCGUUGGGGAUCGGCGGAAGCCCCCUGCGGGCACAACGCCGUCCCCCAAAUACAGUGGCGGUCCCGCCGCAGCUUCCAUUGCGUAGUAGCUAACACCUCGCAACUGGAGAGCGGCGCGGCCACGCCGUAAAACACCCAACAUCUGAAUGUUGACCUCGAAUCAGGUAGGAAUACCCGCUGAACUUAAGCAUAUCAAUAAGCGGAGGA